GAUGAACGCUAGCUACAGGCUUAACACAUGCAAGUCGUGGGGCAUCAUGAUGUAGUAAUACAUUGAUGGCGACCGGCGCACGGGUGAGUAACGCGUAUCCAACCUACCCUCCACUCAAGUAUAGGCUUCCGAAAGGGAGAUUAAUCCUUGAUAUCGUCAUUCUCUCUCCUGUUAGAAUGAUAAAAGGACAUCGUUUCGGUAGAGGAUGGGGAUGCGUUCCAUUAGGUAGUAGGUGGUUUAACAGGCCACCUAGCCGAUGAUGGAUAGGGGUUCUGAGAGGAAUAUCCCCCACACUGGUACUGAGAUACGGACCAGACUCCUACGGGAGGCAGCAGUGAGGAAUAUUGGUCAAUGGGCGCAAGCCUGAACCAGCCAUGUAGCGUGAAGGAUGACAGUUUUUUUGAUUGUAAACUUCUUUUUCUGUGCGAUUAAAAGUGUGGCAUUUAUGCCAUAGGGGCAAGUAUUUUCAGGAAUAAAGCU
rnacentral:rRNA from 1 species